rnacentral:rRNA from 1 species
AUUGUACUACCAUGGGAUCAAUAGGAUGUCAUAACGAUGAAGAACAUAAAAGAAUAUGAUAAAACAUAAUCUUUGAAUUCUAAUUCAUUUUAGGAUAACCCUUUGAACUUAAGCAUAUCAGUAAAAGGAGGAAAAGAAACUAACGAGGAUUUCUUUAGUAGUGGCGAAUGAACAAGAAAGAACUCAUUAUGUAAUCUAUAUUCAUUAUAGAGAUGUUAAAAGUUAUUGUUGUCAUUCAAAUCAUAGAUACAUUAAAUUGUAGUAAAUGAUGACGAUAAAUAAACAAUGUAGAGUACGAUUGCUUGGUAGUGCAAUUGGAAUAUAGAUAGAAUAAAAUAUCUAAAGUUAAAUAUAAAUGACAUACCGAUAGAGAAUAAGUACUGCGAAGGAACUUGUGAAAAUGGUAGUAUUAGCUUAUAGUAAUUAUAAGACCCGUCUUGAAACACGGACCAAGGAGAUUACCAGAUGACAGUAUUAAAGAAUCAUAGGUGAUUUGUCAUCUGGUAAGACCCGAAACAUAGUGAACUAUAUAUGUCAAUGGUUGAAGAUAAACGACCGUUUAUUGGAAGACCUAAGUCAUUCUGACGUGCAAAUCGAUGGUGAAAGAUGUAUAUAGUGGCGAAAGACCAAUCGAACUAUGUGGUAGCUGGUUCACAGCGAAAUGUCUCUUAGGACAGUUGAGUAUAAAUAAAGUAAAUAGAUGUAGAGUCAAUACAAUGUUUAAUUAUAUUGUUUAACUUCUAAUUCUAUAGGUUUGUAUGUUUUAUAAAUACUUACUGAUAUUUACGAUACUCAAGUGGGCGUAUGAUUGUAAGAAUGAUAUGCAAUAAGGGAUGAACCUUGAGAUGCACUAAAAUUUCUAAUUGUAUUAUAAUUAUAAAUAUGAUGAAUACAUUAUGACAGUAGGGCGGUUGUUAUGGAAGUAGAAAUCCGCUAAGAAACGUGUUACAACGUACCUACCGAAUGUAUUAUUGUAUAAAAUGGAUGAAUAUUAUAAUAGUAUUGAAGUGUGUUAAAUAACAAAUAUGUUAUUUGGUAGUUGUGUAAUUUGAAUAUGUUGAAGUAUAUAAGUUAUUAUAUAUUGAAUAAUCAAAUGAGCAGAUCUUGGUGGUAGUAACAUAAUAAUUUGUAUUUAUAGAGAUUAGGGUUGUCAUUAUGAUGACGUGAGACGGUGUUAUAAUAAAACGAAUAGUAUUAAUAUUUUAUUAUCUUAUUUAUUGAGUGGUGACACAAAUAUGGACUAUUAUUGUAAAAGAUUAUAAUAUAAAUGAGUUAUAAUUUGUAUAUGAUGUGAUAGUUGUUAUAAGAUCAUCAUUUGAAUAAUAAUAUGUUAAAAAAGAAAUAAAUAAACCGUACCUAUACCGCAUCAGGUGUCUCUGUUUUAUAACAAAUAUAUAUAAAGUAAUCUAAGUAAGGGAAUUCGGCAAAAUAGAUCUGUAACUUUGGGAUAAAGAUUGGCUCUAGCAUGCUAGAACUUUUUAUAUUAUGAGAGGAAUCUGACUGUUUAAUAAAAACAUAGCUUUAUGAUAAUGUAAAGUGAAUUCUGCCCAGUGUAUUUAUUAGUUAAAAUCGAAUAAGCAUAUAUAAACGGCGGGAGUAACUAUGACUCUCUUAAGGUAGCCAAAUGCCUCGUCAUUUAAUUGGUGACGCGCAUGAAUGGAGCAACGAGAUUCCUACUGUCCCUAUUUAGAGCUAUGUGAAGCAACGAGACAAGGGAACGGGCUUGUUAUAUAUCAGCGGGGAAAGAAGACCCUGUUGAGCUUUACUCUAGUAUAUUUCAAUUUGUAUAUAUUAUAUUGUAGAGAGGUGGGAGAUGUAAUGUGAAACCACUAAUAUUAAUAUUAUAUGAAUUUAUUGUAAUUAUAUGGGGAGUUUGGCUGGGGCGGCACAACUGUUAUAAAGAAACACAGUUGUCCUAAGAUACAAUUAAUUAGGAUAGAAACCUAAUGUUCAAUAUAAGGGUAUAAAUGUGUCUGAUGUAUAGAACAAUAGUUUUAUAUGAUGGGAAACCAUGGCCUAAAGAUCCUCCAAUAAUAGUUUUAUUUGAUUGGAGGUGACAGAAAAGUUACCACAGGGAUAACUGGCUUGUAGCAAAUGAGCGAUCAUAGCGACUUUGCUUUUUGAUUCUUCGAUGUCGUCUCUUCUGAUCAUCGUAGUGUAUAUGUUACGAAGUGUUGGAUUGUUCACCCGUUAAUGAGGAACGUGAGAUGGGUUUAGACCGUCGUGAGACAGGUUAGUUUUACCCUACUGUUUAUAUUAUUAAGAAAAGUUAUAUAGUACGAGAGGAACAAUAAGUGAUGACCUCUGGUGUAGCGAUUAAUUAUUCAAUUAUGUUGCAAAACUACGUCAUGAAUAAUAAAUGCUGAAAGCCUCUUAAGCAUGAAGUUAAUCUUAAUGAUAGACAAUUGAGGGAUACUACCUCUCUGAAGAGUGGGACUGUAAGAAUGAAGGUGUAUACCGACAUUUUGAGGUUACCAUUUCGUUCUGUAUAAAAAUA